rnacentral:lncRNA from 1 species
GCUGUAGCUCUUCCGAGCCGCAGCGCUGCCGAGUCAGCGCGCCCAGCCGAGCGCUCCGCUCGCCCUCCGCUCCCCGCGCUCCUGCACUCACCCGCUUACUCUUCCCUUUCUCUUUUCCUCCCUUUUUUUCUUUUUUUUUUUUUUUUUCUUUUUUAUCCCUGUGCCCCUGUGCCAGUUGAUUUAAAUGUAUCUGUUCAAGUGGAGAUAAUCCAUGCAAAUCAGAGGCACUGGCUCCCAGUGCUCGAUUCACAAAGAGAACUCAGCUUCAGGAGGUCACUCGUUCACAGCUGCUCCUCCCAUUAUAUUUUUCCCUUAUUGCAGAACUACUGCAUGUAUACAGUGACUGAAAGGACUCAAUUCACUGCAACUGCUGCCUGGCUUUACUUACAACUUUCUUUAAAGGGGGACUUACCUUCUAUCACUCUUGCUAAGCAUUUACAGCAAUUCCUAAUUAUAUCCUGAACUAAAAAGACCAUCUCCAUAUGAUGCUCAUACCAUUCCUUCUUAAUGAGGAAAUCAUACAGAUGAAGGAACACUCAUUCUGUAAUGUGACCGUGUCCUGUGGCUGUCAGCUGAUGAGGAAGAUGUUUCUCAUCGUGUCCCCUCUCAGUAAUAUCUGCACAGUAACAACUAGAAUUGAGAUAAAUUCUUCAUGCUCCUCUGAAGCUGAGGAAGAGACCUUGGGACACUGGAUAGGAUGAUCUGGUGAGUAACUUCUAAAAAGUAUAAAUAAAGCUAAGCCACAGGAGUUUUGUAGCCA